UAAAGCCAUGGCACCUACACCGCUGGCCUCAUGGCCCAUAUGUCCUAUAGCUGCAAUUAUAAGAGUUGGAUAUAAAAUUUCCACUGCUUCAGUCCUUUCCCAAGGGACUCAACAGUUGAAGGGCACUGCAGCCCCUCUCAUCUUCUGUACAUGUCUCAGAUUACAGGUGACAGUAAAGAGAAUCUUGAGCUUCGAAAACAAGGAGUCCUAUCUGCUUGUCUUGCUUACUGAUAAAUUGGCCAUGCGUAGCUCCAUGCCUUAUACGUGGUAAGCAGUCAAAUAUUC
rnacentral:lncRNA from 10 species